GAAGUGUGUGGGAUAUUAAUUAAUGUAUUGUGAAGAUCAAAAAGUCAUAUAACUCUAAUAAUUAAUGUGUAUGUGAGUAGUAUAAAUAGAAGUGGCUUCCUUGGUGUGUAGUAGGAGUUAGAUAUAAAAUGAAUAGAAAUUGUGAUAUUCUUUUUCUCCUCUCUCAAGCAUUUUCUUAUCAUAUAUGAUUGAGUACUCCUCUCCUCCUCUAUCUACCAUGUUUCUAUUAGUUUAGUUGGCAACAAGUUGGUAUCAAAGCAUAAGCAUAAGAAGUACGAAUUACCAA
rnacentral:lncRNA from 1 species